rnacentral:tRNA from 1 species
AUCUCAGUAGCUCAGCGGUAGAGCGGUCGGCUGUGAACAACUCACUGGAAAAAAAAGGUUCGAUUCCUGCUUGAGAUU